GAUAAGCCCAGAUUAGGUAGUAACAACCAUUUGAGUCUGGGAUUUCUGAAUGGGGAAACCCACGUGCAUAAGCACGUAUCCUUACCUGAAUACAUAGGGUAAGGAGGCGAACCGGGGGAACUGAAACAUCUAAGUACCCCGAGGAAAAGAAAUCAACCGAGAUUCCGAAAGUAGCGGCGAGCGAAAUUGGACUAGCCCUUAAGCUUUACACGCGUUAGACGAACGGUCUGGAAAGUCCGACGAUACAGGGUGAUAGUCCCGUAGUUGACGACGUGUGUUCAGUGAAAUCGAGUAGGGCGGGACACGUGAUAUCCUGUCUGAAUAUGGGGGGACCAUCCUCCAAGGCUAAAUACUACUGACUGACCGAUAGUGAACCAGUACCGUGAGGGAAAGGCGAAAAGAACCCCUGUGAGGGGAGUGAAAUAGAACCUGAAACCGUGUACGUACAAGCAGUAGGAGCAGGCUUUGUCCUGUGACUGCGUACCUUUUGUAUAAUGGGUCAGCGACUUAUAUUCAGUGGCAAGGUUAACCAUCUAGGGGAGCCGUAGGGAAACCGAGUCUUAACUGGGCGUUCAGUCUCUGGAUAUAGACCCGAAACCAGGUGAUCUAGCCAUGGGCAGCUAGGGGUGAAAGGCCAAUCAAACCUGGAGAUAGCUGGUUCUCCCCGAAAGCUAUUUAGGUAGCGCCUCGGACGAAUACUACUGGGGGUAGAGCACUGUUAAGGCUAG
rnacentral:rRNA from 1 species